CAUAUCUCGGAGUCCACGUGAGGCCAAGGGACUUUUGCUGGCCAGCAUUCGUGACCCAAACCCAGUCAUCUUUUUCGAGCCAAAGUGGCUGUACCGUUUGUCUGUUGAAGAAGUUCCUGAGGGGGACUAUAUGCUGCCUUUAUCCCAGGCGAAAGUGAUCCGCAAAGGAAGUGAUAUAACACUUGUUGGUUGGGGAGCUAAAC